UACGGAGGGUGCGAGCGUUGUCCGGAAUCACUGGGCGUAAAGGGCGCGUAGGUGGCGCGGGCAGUCAACGGUGAAAGUUCGGGGCUCAACCCUGAAUCGGCCGUCGAUACUCCCGGGCUUGAGCACUGUAGAGGCAGAUGGAAUUCCGGGUGUAGCGGUGGAAUGCGUAGAGAUCCGGAAGAACACCGGUGGCGAAAGCGGCUUCCUGGUCCGACACCGACGUUCAGGCACGAAAGCGUGGGGAGCAAACAGG
rnacentral:rRNA from 1 species